UUCCCACCUGCUAGAGGAGGAAAUUUUUCGGUUGAUGAUUGAGGUCCUAUUGUAUCUUCAUCAGGCCUCAAAUUCUCUAUGCACCUGAGGAUGACUUUGACUGUUUAACACUCCCCCCUCCACUUCUGAAGGACUGGAAAGACAGGUAACCCUUGUGAAACAGUCAUUCAAUACCUCAAAAGGGGUCCUGACCAACAGGUUGAAAAAUGCUGCUCUAAGAUAAGCACUGAGGACUGAAGCAAAUUUUGAAGCUAAUGCAUCAAACUUGCUUUUUUAUCUGAAUGCCCCAUAGCUUCAGGGAAAAGACCCAGAGCAUUCACAAGCAACUUUUAAAGUACAUGUAUUCAGAUACAUUAAAAAUUUUAUUCCAGA